UACGUAGGAGGCGAGCGUUGUCCGGAAUUACUGGGCGUAAAGAGCGCGUAGGCGGCACGGUACGACCGGUGUGAAAGCCCCCGGCUCAACUUGGGGAGGGUCACCGGUAACGGCCGAGCUCUGAGUGCAGGAGAGGGAAGUGGAACUCCGGGAGUAGCGGUGAAAUGCGUAGAGACCCGGAGGAACACCAGUGGCGAAGGCGGCUUCCUGGUCGUGCAA
rnacentral:rRNA from 1 species